UGUGUGUUUUGUGUUUUUUUGUGUUGUGUGAGGGUUUGUUCUUCUCCUCACACCCCCUCCGCCCCCUUCUCUCUCUCUCAACCUCAUCUUUUAACACACAGAGGAGAGAGGAGAAGGGAAAAAGAACCUCUCUCUCUCUUUGAUGAAGGGAGAUGAAAAGCAAAGAAUGCGAAAAGAGGUGUUUUCAAAGGAACAAAACAUAAAAGUGGGGAAAAGGGCGGUGUUUUGUUUCACCCACAUAAAAGAGCAAAUAUUCGGGAACACAACAAUCGAAAGUAGAGGGA
rnacentral:ribozyme from 13 species